rnacentral:rRNA from 1 species
AUUGAACGCUGGCGGCAGGCCUAACACAUGCAAGUCGAACGAGUGGCGGACGGGUGAGUAAUGUCUGGGAAACUGCCCGAUGGAGGGGGAUAACUACUGGAAACGGUAGCUAAUACCGCAUACCAUCGGAUGUGCCCAGAUGGGCUUAGCGAGUAGGUGGGGUAACGGCUCACCUAGGCGACGAUCCCUAGCUGGUCUGAGAGGAUGACCAGCCACACUGGAACUGAGACACGGUCCAGAAUCCUACGGGAGGCAGCAGUGGGGAAUAUUGCACAAUGGGCGAAAGCCUGAUGCAGCCAUGCCGCGUGUAUGAAGAAGGCCUUCGGGUUGUAAAGGACUUUCGGCGGGGAGGCGUUACCCGCAGAAGAAGCACCGGCUAACUCCGUGCCAGCAGCCGCGGUAAUUC